GCCGGUUCUACCGAUUACCUAGUUAGGCAGGUGUUGCGAUUACAUCAGCAGCAAGACUUAACUUAGUUAACUAACUAACUAACUAGUUAGUUAACUUAAAAAUUUAAGUUAAACAGAACAGAAAACAUCCAAAACAAGCGAAAAAUGCAGAACUAGGCGACUCGGCGAACCACGGCUGAGACUGAGUCAGGUCUGUUGGUUACACACAUUACUGAUGACCAUCUGAGAGAUAUGACAUGUAUGGUUAUUGCCUUCAAGGUUGGGGGCGCAUUACUAGGCUACCGUCCUGCUUUGUAAUUGAUUAUCAUCCUGAAACAAUAGUAAAUGGUCAAAACAAAAUAGGUUUGCAGAUAUCGGCACAAGUGAAGAGUUUAUUAUAUGAUUGUAUGACAACAGUGAUGAAGGUCCAUUGGCAGCAGUCCGAAAAUCGAGCAAAUGCCGAGGGAAUGAGCCUUCUUCAUGAGGCAAUUUCAGCCGUAUUUACACGCUAGGCCUGCAGAGGAACGUGCCUUGUUCGCCCUCAUGCAGCUGGCAACUUUAAACUUCGGUUCGCUUUUGAUUUCGAGGCUUUUGCACGUUGAGGCUUGUACGAUAUAGGCAUGCCGUGGGCUUCCGCUCGUGCUGAGUUUUGGCAACAACCGUCGACGUACGUACUAAGA
rnacentral:lncRNA from 1 species